rnacentral:tRNA from 1 species
GCAUUCGCGGUGUAACGGUAGCACACUCUGCUUGUAUUCGAGAGGUCCAGAUUCGAAUCCUGGCAAGGGCA